UCUCAAGAUAAGCCAUGCAUGUCUAGUAUAGCAUUAUACAGCGANACUGCGAAUGGCUCAUUAAAUCAGUUAUCGUUUAUUUGAUAGUACCUUACUACUUGGAUAACCGUGGUAAUUCUAGAGCUAAUACAUGCUAAAAACCCCGACUCACGAAGGGGUGUAUUUAUUAGAUUAAAAACCAAUGCCCUUCGGGGCUCUUUGGUGAUUCAUAAUAACUUUUCGAAUCGCAUGGCCUUGCGCCGGCGAUGGUUCAUUCAAAUUUCUGCCCUAUCAACUUUCGAUGGCAGGGUCUUGGCCUGCCAUGGUUACAACGGGUAACGGAGGGUUAGGGCUCGACCCCGGAGAAGGAGCCUGAGAAACGGCUACUACAUCCAAGGAAGGCAGCAGGCGCGCAAAUUACCCAAUCCCGAUUCGGGGAGGUAGUGACAAUAAAUACUGAUACAGGGCUCUUUUGGGUCUUGUAAUUGGAAUGAGUACAAUUUAAAUCCCUUAACGAGGAACAAUUGGAGGGCAAGUCUGGUGCCAGCAGCCGCGGUAAUUCCAGCUCCAAUAGCGUAUAUUAAAGUUGUUGCAGUUAAAAAGCUCGUAGUUGAACCUUGGGCCUGGCUGGCCGGUCCGCCUCACCGCGUGCACUGGUUCGGCCGGGCCUUUCCCUCUGGGGAACCUCAUGGUCUUCACUGAUCGUGAUGGGGAACCAGGACUUUUACUGUGAAAAAAUUAGAGUGUUCAAAGCAGGCCUAUGCUCGAAUACAUUAGCAUGGAAUAAUAAAAUAGGACGUGUGGUUCUAUUUUGUUGGUUUCUAGGACCGCCGUAAUGAUUAAUAGGGACAGUCGGGGGCAUCAGUAUUCAAUUGUCAGAGGUGAAAUUCUUGGAUUUAUUGAAGACUAACUACUGCGAAAGCAUUUGCCAAGGAUGUUUUCAUUAAUCAGGAACGAAAGUUAGGGGAUCGAAGACGAUCAGAUACCGUCGUAGUCUUAACCAUAAACUAUGCCGACUAGGGAUCGGACGGUGUUACUUAUUGACCCGUUCGGCACCUUACGAGAAAUCAAAGUCUUUGGGUCUGGGGGAGUAUGGUCGGCAAAGACUGAAACUAGAGGAUUGUUAUGUGCGCGCGAGAGGKYRSRAKAAAAAC
rnacentral:rRNA from 1 species